rnacentral:snoRNA from 13 species
UGAUGGCGAUGAUGAUUCUCCCACUUGGGUUCACCUGAUAAUCUAAAUAUGAGGGUGUUCAGUCACUACCUCAUCUGAAGCCAUCU